rnacentral:rRNA from 1 species
CCCUUAAAUGUCCUGGGCCGCACGCGCGUUACACUGAUGCAUUCAACGAGCUUAUAACCUUGGCCGAGAGGCCUGGGCAAUCUUGUUAACGUGCAUCGUGAUAGGGAUAGAUUAUUGAAAUUAUUAAUCUUGAACGAGGAAUUCCUAGUAAACGCAGAUCAUCAAUCUGCAUUGAUUACGUCCCUGCCCUUUGUACACACCGCCCGUCGCACCUACCGAUUGGAUGGUCCGGUGAAGCCUCGGGAUUGUGGUUCUUGCCGCUUUAUUGUGGCGUGACCGCGAGAACUUGUCUAAACCUUAUCAUCUAGAGGAAGGUGAAGUCGUAACA